rnacentral:rRNA from 1 species
AUUGAACGCUGGCGGCAGGCCUAACACAUGCAAGUCGAACGAGUGGCGGACGGGUGAGUAAUGUCUGGGAAACUGCCUGAUGGAGGGGGAUAACUACUGGAAACGGUAGCUAAUACCGCAUACCAUCGGAUGUGCCCAGAUGGGAUUAGCUAGUAGGUGGGGUAAAGGCUCACUGAGGCGACGAUCCCUAGCUGGUCUGAGCGGAUGACCAUCCACACUGGAACUGUGACCCGGUCCAUACUCCUACGGCAGGCAUCAGUGGGGAAUAUUGCAGAGUGGGCUCAAGCCUGAUGCAGCCAUGCCGCGUGUAUGAAGAAGGCCUUUGGGUUUUAAAGUACUUUCAGCGGGGAGGCGUUACCCGCAGAAGAAGCACCGGCGAACUCCGUGCCAGCAGCCGCGGUAAUUC